AUUGAACGCUGGCGGCAGGCCUAACACAUGCAAGUCGAGCGGAUGAGAGGAGCUUGCUCCUUGAUUUAGCGGCGGACGGGUGAGUAAUGCCUAGGAAUCUGCCUGGUAGUGGGGGAUAACGUUCCGAAAGGAACGCUAAUACCGCAUACGUCCUACGGGAGAAAGCAGGGGACCUUCGGGCCUUGCGCUAUCAGAUGAGCCUAGGUCGGAUUAGCUAGUUGGUGAGGUAAUGGCUCACCAAGGCGACGAUCCGUAACUGGUCUGAGGGGAUGAUCAGUCACACUGGAACUGAGACACGGUCCAGACUCCUACGGGAGGCAGCAGUGGGGAAUAUUGGACAAUGGGCGAAAGCCUGAUCCAGCCAUGCCGCGUGUGUGAAGAAGGUCUUCGGAUUGUAAAGCACUUUAAGUUGGGAGGAAGGGCAUUAACCUAAUACGUUAGUGUUUUGACGUUACCGACAGAAUAAGCACCGGCUAACUUCGUGCCAGCAGCCGCAGUAACAC
rnacentral:rRNA from 1 species